rnacentral:rRNA from 1 species
AACGGAAAGGCCCUGCUUGCAGGGUACUCGAGUGGCGAACGGGUGAGUAACACGUGGGUGAUCUGCCCUGCACUUCGGGAUAAGCUUGGGAAACUGGGUCUAAUACCGGAUAGGAGCCAUCUUUAGUGUGGUGGUUGGAAAGUUUUUUCGGUGUAGGAUGAGCUCGCGGCCUAUCAGCUUGUUGGUGGGGUAAUGGCCUACCAAGGCGGCGACGGGUAGCCGGCCUGAGAGGGUGUACGGCCACAUUGGGACUGAGAUACGGCCCAGACUCCUACGGGAGGCAGCAGUGGGGAAUAUUGCACAAUG